CUGAAUAGGGCGCUUAGUCAGAUGCUGCAGACCCGAAACGAAGUGAUCUAUCCAUGAGCAAGUUGAAGCUAGUGUAAGAACUAGUGGAGGACUGAACCCAUAGGCGUUGAAAAGCCCCGGGAUGACUUGUGGAUAGGGGUGAAAGGCCAAUCAAACUUCGUGAUAGCUGGUUCUCUCCGAAAUAUAUUUAGGUAUAGCGUUGUGUCGUAAUAUAAGGGGGUAGAGCACUGAAUGGGCUAGGGCAUACACCAAUGUACCAAACCCUAUCAAACUCCGAAUACCUUAUAUGUAAUCACAGCAGUCAGGCGGCGAGUGAUAAAAUCCGUCGUCAAGAGGGAAACAACCCAGACUACCAGCUAAGGUCCCUAAAUCUUACUUAAGUGGAAAACGAUGUGAAGUUACUUAAACAACCAGGAGGUUGGCUUAGAAGCAGCCAUCCUUUAAAGAAAGCGUAAUAGCUCACUGGUCUAGUGAUUUUGCGCGGAAAAUAUAACGGGGCUAAAGUAAGUACCGAAGCUGUAGACUUGCGCACAACUUAGAUUAUUUAAGUUUAGAAUAUGAGAAACUAAGUUAUAUGUUUAGUUAUAUUUUUACUGAUUUUUAUAGAGUAAAGAUAGAAAUAAAACUUAGUAAAAUCAGUAAAAAUAUUCUUAGACUAAAGUUAAGUAGUUUAAGUUGUGUGCAAGUGGUAGGAGAGCGUUCUAUUUGCGUCGAAGGUAUACCGGUAAGGAGU
rnacentral:rRNA from 1 species